rnacentral:rRNA from 1 species
AUUGAACGCUGGCGGCAGGCCUAACACAUGCAAGUCGAACGAGUGGCGGACGGGUGAGUAAUGUCUGGGAAACUGCCCGAUGGAGGGGGAUAACUACUGGAAACGGUAGCUAAUACCGCAUACAAUCGGAUGUGCCCAGAUGGGAUUAGCUAGUAGGUGGGGUAACGGCUCACCUAGGCGACGAUCCCUAGCUGGUCCGAGAGGAUGACCAGCCACACGCGACCCGAGACACGGUCCAUACUCCUACGGGCGGCAGCAGUGGGGAAUAUUGCACCAUUGGCGCAAGCCUAAUUCAGCCAUGCCGCGUGUAUGAAAAAGGCCUUCGGGUUGUAAAGUACUUUCAGCGAGGAGGCGUUACUCGCAGGCGAAGCUCCGGCUAACUCCGUGCCAGCAGCCGCGGUAAUUC